CAGUAUACACGUGGCACGAGGAGUCCCUGCCAUGUUCUCUCUGUGUUUCUGUCGUCAAACUGUGAGAACUUCGAAGGAGCAUCAUAAUUUCAGCUAACAAUAUUAAUGGAUUAAUCAGGAUAGCACGCACAUAUCUGAAUGAGUUAAAUUGGUCAAUCGCCAGCCUGGAGGACACAGAGAAUUAUCACGUUCUCGAGGCAGCGUCGUGCAACGAUUGAGUGGUUACCGGUCUCCAGUUGAAUAUACCAAGAGGUUCAUAUAAACCAAAUACUAAAUUCGUGUACGUCAAAUUUCUAGCGCCAAUCACGUCGCUGAAGGACACGGAGAAUCAACAUGUUUUCGAGCAACGUCGUGCACCGCUCGCCAGUUGAGCAUACCAAAAAGGUUAUUUUUAACUGGAAAUCGCCAUAAACAUUGAGCGUAAUCGAGAUAAACAUACAGCAGGAUACGGGAUCGACACGUUUGCAAGGCAACAAUCGAG